rnacentral:rRNA from 1 species
CCGGCGCACGGGUGAGUAACACGUAUCCAACCUGCCGUCUACUCUUGGACAGCCUUCUGAGAGGAAGAUUAAUACAAGAUGGCAUCAUGAGUCCGCAUGUUCACAUGAUUAAAGGUAUUCCGGUAGACGAUGGGGAUGCGUUCCAUUAGAUAGUAGGCGGGGUAACGGCCCACCUAGUCUUCGAUGGAUAGGGGUUCUGAGAGGAAGGUCCCCCACAUUGGAACUGAGACACGGUCCAAACUCCUACGGGAGGCAGCAUG